UACAGAGGUGGCAAGCGUUGUUCGGAAUUACUGGGCGUAAAGGGCGCGUAGGCGGCCUUCUAAGUCAGACGUGAAAUCCCCAGGCUUAACUUGGGAACUGCGUCUGAUACUGGGAGGCUUGAGUGCGGGAGAGGGAUGUGGAAUUCCAGGUGUAGCGGUGAAAUGCGUAGAGAUCAUGAGGAAGACCAGUGGCGAAGGCGGGUCUCUGGACAGUUCCUGACACUGAGGCACGAAGGCCAGGGGAGCAAACGGG
rnacentral:rRNA from 1 species